rnacentral:lncRNA from 1 species
UGCUGCAAAUUUUCAACAUCUAUAUAGGGAACAAUCUGUCCAGUUUCAUCCAUGUUAGUUUCCUCUGAUGGAACUUCAACUCUUAUAUUUCCCUCUUCUAAGUUUGAGUUUUCCAUUAAUCCUGCGAAACACAAUCAUAAAUAUUAGGUAACAACCCAUCUUUAAGCCUUUCAUAAUAAGAAACUACAGCAUUAUCUGCUACAUUACUACAAGCGCAAGCUUUUAUAACUAGUUAAAAGUCACAAAAAAUAAACUAAAAGAGGAGAAAAAGUUUGAUGUGCUGCUACAGGAAAAGAGAAUACAUGUGCUGCUACAGUGAAAAGCAAAGCUGAUGGUGUAAAAAUUUGGUGCAUUUCGUUAUGGGUCCUAUAUUGUGAAGAAAUAUUGCACACAAG